UAGCCAAUCAGAACGCAGGUCCGCAGCACCGUUGGCCGGCUAGACAGCAUGCGCUAGUCAGACGCUGGGUGACGCUGUGUGAAGGGGAUAUACGGCUAAAUGGUAAAAAUCUUGUAGACGUGUGUGUGAGAGAGGCCCGGGUCAAUGAAGCCUGCCGAGUGACAGAGAGGAAAUCCCGAAUUGGUCAGGUUUUUUGAGUUGAUCUGAAGUUGAUGGCGAGCCAAACCAGACGAGACGUUGGACUGAAGAUCCCUGAAUCGAAGAACCCAGAGUUGAGAACUGCCAACCUUACCUCUCUCCUGCCACGUGAAAGCGGCUCUUCAAUGCUGAAGUGUUCUUGAGCAAUACCCUGAAUUAUCAGCAGAUCCAGACCUCUCUGCUAAGGCAGAGCUGAGGCAGGGCCCGAGAUGUGGCAUGGAUUGGACGACUGAAAUCUGAACUCUGAAAUCUUUCUGGGGCAACAGGAUGGUGUAUUGUUUCGAGAUCAUCCAGACAACGCAGGUUCAAGCUACUACACUGCAAAACAUCUAACCUGUGCAACCCCUGCGAUAAACCUGGGGCUGUUUAUGUGUGGAGAUCGAUCGAUAAAGAAUCUCACUGACAAAUAUCUGACACCCAGACCCAUCAAACAGUGUUGGUUUGAUCCCAUGCGUGCUCUGUGUAUGGAGGCUCAGAGCUGGGGUCACCCCUCAUCGGUCACCCAAUCUCUUAGUUGCACUCCUUGACCUAAAACGAACAUUCGCAGGUCGACUCUAUAGCAUGUCGUCUGAUGAAUUAUUGAGGAUCUCCUCAAAGCUCUGAUCUUGUCAGAGUGAAACCGAUAUAGCACCUACAACAUCUUGGGACUGAUAAGUAGCUUGGAGGUAUGAAAGAGACAAAGAAAGUGAGGUAGUGCUGAGGUAGAGAAAAGACAAAAUGAAAUAAAGAGAUAAAAUGAAAGAUUUCAUGUGCAGGGCUCAUUGGAGAAAUGACAUUUGUUGUUUCUCUGAGAAGGACAGUAUCUUCAGUUGUGUGUUAUUGUGAAUACAAUUACUGUAUGCACAUGAGUUUUCAUCUAUGUGUGUUAAAUGAGUUUCUAUGCAAAUGUACAUAUUUCUUGGUGUAUCUAUACGAGUGUGCACGUCAUCACUAUCCCCAGGACAUGUUUCAUCUUUGUAAUCCUGGUUCCCACUUCCUAUGUCUUGUCGCUCUUCUGACGGGGGGCUCAUUAACAACACUGGAGGAUCCAAAGCAAAGCUUUAAUUGGGUGAUGUAAUUAAGGCUCCCUAACAAAGUCAAAGUUUAAUUAGCCUGGUGGGAAAGGCAGGAAUCAUUCACGGGAAUUUCACUCUCAGUUUUGCAUCCUCUCCUCCACUUCCUCUUCCUUCUCUCUUGCAAGCUUUCUUUUUCUCCCUCUAUCUCUCUCUCCUCUCCCCGUUUCUUUGUUCUGCUUUGAGCGCAAAGGAACGUGACACAAAUCUCGAUGAGGGUCAGUCCUUCACAACGCACUCCUUCCAGGUCUUCUCCUACUCAUCUCUUCCGCGGGUCUGGGUCUCUGUCCUCCCUCUCUGCGUCCAGUGCUUUGUCUGUUUUGCAUCCGCUCUGAGUGUUGACACUGUUGCUCUAGUAUCUGAGCUUUUCACAUGGACGCCCUCACACUAGUCCACCUAACGAGUUCCAAGUGCUGUGACGAAAUGCAGUUGUAAGAAAACAAGUUGUCGUGAGUUGUAGUACUACAGCUGCAGGUAAACACAUCUGUAAAUGGGAUGGAGCUCCACUGGCUGUAUAGGAAGGAGUUGUAUUGAUCCCCAUGCAUUCACAGCAGUCAUAUCUCGCUAGGCUUAAUAGAAAAUCCACAACUGCGUGGCAUUUUUCCUCCUUCCUGAAGGCAAUUCGAUAACACAGAGCCGCAUUCUCACAUGUAAUUGAAAACACUGGGAAUUGGUCCUAUCAUACAAUGACGACUACGGGCCUGUGUCUGUGCAGCAGUGAUGGAGAGGGGACAUGUUUUGCGGACAAUGUUGAUUCUUUUCUCCUUGUCCACAGUUUUCACCGAAGCUUAUCCGACCCUGCUAGCUUGCCUCGCUGGAACUCUUUUGGCAUCUGGAAGGUGCGAUACGGAGCAUGUGCGUGUGCGCGAGCGUGUUUGUUGUUUCUCAGGAGAGACGGCUGCAGAGAGAAAACUUUACACCCACAGAGCGAGAGAGACAAGUGUCUGUCUGGAAAGGUGAGCAUGUCUGCCACUGUAUGUGUGUGUUUGUGUGGGCAUAUGAGAGAGAGAGAGAGUUGUGUUUCCCCAUGGGAGAUUAAGCCUGGGCAUAGCAUCCACCACCGAAAAACUCUCAUUUCUCCUUUCGAUAAGAAGGGAAUUGAGUCUCUAUUUUGGUCCCAACCACAUACAGAGAAAACCGCAGGAGAAUGCUACACUUGAGUUUCUCAACAGAGGUUCAGAUCAGUUUGUCCUCACAUAAACACUCCGAUUGCUAUAAUCUCCUGCUAUUUACAGUCUAACAUAUAUUCUAUUCAUAUCGCUAAUCUCUGUUCCCAAAAAAACUUUUAGGAAUGGGGACUGACAGGACUUGUGCAAUGCUUUUCAUAAACAAAGACAUUAUGCUGAUCCUAACUCUUUUGUUCUUGUAUUGUUCACCGCGUUUGUUCUUUUAUUGUUUAAUGAUGAUUUGCUCUCCCCUCAGGACAUUAGAGUAGAUUUUGGGCAAAUCUGACCUCAAUGUUGUAUAAUCCGUUGUGGAGCCAUGCUAAGAUUAGUGAUACAUUUUCAAAUACAGUUCUUUCUAUUUUGAAAAACCCUUUGAAUGAGCUCAUAAUAAGCUGUAUGUUCUCUCUCGCUUUCUUUCCCCAACAGCAGUUGCUUUCAAGGAUGGGUCUGGGGCAGGAUGUAUGAACAAUGCUUAUGUGCAAAAAGAUACAAAGUAAAUAUGUCUAACUUAACUAAAAGUAUACUGAAGACCACGUGUAAGCAUCGUUUCUUAAAGAAAGCCAGUUGUGCUAUGGUUGAAAUAAACAACAUUUUUGAA